ACUGGAGCUUGCUCCUGGACUCAGCGGCGNACUGGUGAGUAAUGCCUAGGAAUCUGCCUGGUAGUGGGGGAUAACGUCCNGAAACGNNCGCUAAUACCGCAUACGUCCUNAGGGAGAAAGUGGGGGANCUUCGGACCUCACGCUAUCAGAUGAGCCUAGGUCGGAUUAGCUAGUUGGUGGGGUAANGGCNNACCAAGGCGACGAUCCGUAACUGGUCUGAGAGGAUGAUCAGUCACACUGGAACUGAGACNCGGUCCAGACUCCUACGGGAGGCAGCAGUGGGGAAUAUUGGACAAUGGGCGAAAGCCUGAUCCAGCCAUGCCGCGUGUGUGAAGAAGGUCUUCGGAUUGUAAAGCACUUUAAGUUGGGAGGAAGGGCAGUAAGUUAAUACCUUGCUGUUUUGACGUUACCGACAGAAUAAGCACCGGCUAACUCUGUGCCAGCAGCCGCGGUAAUACNAAGGGUGCAAGCGUUAAUCGGAAUUACUGGGCGUAAAGCGCGCGUAGGUGGUUCAUCAAGUUGGAUGUGAAAUCCCCGGGCUCAACCUGGGAACUGCAUCCAAAA
rnacentral:rRNA from 1 species